AGCUUCAUGGCGCAGUGGGAGCGCGCCAGGACCUUAAUUGGGACCCGGAGGACCUCCGAUCGAAACGGAGUGGAGCUU